rnacentral:rRNA from 1 species
CAGCCGCCGCGGGAAUACGUAGGUGGCAAGCGUUGUCCGGAAUUACUGGGCGUAAAGCGCGCGCAGGUGGUUUAAUAAGUCUGAUGUGAAAGCCCACGGCUCAACCGUGGAGGGUCAUUGGAAACUGUUAAACUUGAGUGCAGGAGAGAAAAGUGGAAUUCCUAGUGUAGCGGUGAAAUGCGUAGAGAUUAGGAGGAACACCAGUGGCGAAGGCGGCUUUUUGGCCUGUAACUGACACUGAGGCGCGAAAGCGUGGGGAGCAAACAGGAUUAGAUACCCGCGUAGUCCCUGUCUCUUAUAC